GACGUAGGGCGCGAGCGUUGUCCGGAUUUAUUGGGCGUAAAGAGCUCGUAGGCGGCUUGUCGCGUCGUCCGUGAAAACCAGGGGCUCAACCCCUGGCUUGCGGUCGAUACGGGCAGGCUAGAGUUCGGUAGGGGAGACUGGAAUUCCUGGUGUAGCGGUGAAAUGCGCAGAUAUCAGGAGGAACACCGGUGGCGAAGGCGGGUCUCUGGGCAGUAACUGACGCUGAGGAGCGAAAGCGUGGGGAGCGAACAGG
rnacentral:rRNA from 1 species